GUGGGGCCGUGGCGGGCAAGGACCACCGCACAGGGUGAAGGGUCUCAGGCAGCAAAGCAACUGCUCCCACCGCACAGCUGCAGAAACGGAGGCUGCCCGGUCCCACGGGGGACGGCAGCGCCGCAGGGCCUGCGCCCAGACCUCCUGCCCAGCUGGCCCCUCGUCCUGGUGGGGUCCAGGGCUGCGGCGUCCUGGAAGCUUGUGGGGCGCUAGAGCUCUGAGCUCUGUGAUGCAGGCCUGCCCUGGGCCUGCUGCCCCGCCUGAAACCAGGAGUUAACACAUCAGCCUCCAACCCACAGAGGCGGAGCCUAGGAUGCUGGAGUGGGGCUGGGGCAAGGGUGGGAGCCACCAUCAGGGAGAGCCUGUGCCGGGAGGGCGUGGAGUUAUGGGGACCCACUGCUGCUGGGUUCCCAGCACCGAAUGCACUUGUGUCCUGAGCUGUAC
rnacentral:lncRNA from 1 species